GAUUCUUCUCUCAAAAACAAUAUAUGUUGACUUUGAAUUUCGGAGUCGGUUGACUUGAUCUUCUCCGGAUUUGAUUUUGAACUUGAAUAACGUUUUCCGAAGGUCUUGCGACUUGAAUCUCGGAUCGAACGCUGAACUUUGACGAGCUUUGACUUGAAGAUCUUGGAGUUCUUGAUGGAUUUGGUCCUUCAAUCUUCCUUCGAUCUUGAUUUGUUGAACUUUGACGGGUUUUGACUUGAAGAUCUUGGAGUUCUUGAUGGAUUUGGCCCUUUAAUCUUCCUUCGAUCUUGAUUUGUUGAAGAACGCCCUCGAUUUGAUGAAGAACGCCUUUAAUUUGUUGAAGAACGACUUGAAUAUUGUAGAGAGAAUUUUCUCCUACGGUUUUUC
rnacentral:lncRNA from 1 species